AAUCAAUUUCAGAUCUGAAUAAUUCAUGAUUUAUUUUAGAUUUGAAAUGAUUUCAGAUCCAAAAAAAUCUUGUAAUCAUAUUACAGUAUAUAGAAAGUUUAGAUCUAAUCUUAAUCGAUGUUCUAUAUCAUUAUAGGACAAUCGUUCAGCAUAAGAGGGUUAUGCCAGGGUAACCUUAUUUCAUAAUGAGUAAAUCAUCAAACUAACCUUCAGAUCUGAUUUCUACAAAUCAAAUUUUAGAUCUGAGAAAUUUUCAUAUUCAUAUCAGAACCUAUGCUCUGAUAUCACUACUAGAAAACUGCUACGAUUUUGUACGUGUAGUUCAAAAUUUUUUUCUAAACAUAAAGCAGUGGAAGUAAAUAAAUUAAAAUAUUUUUAAUCUAAACACAUACCAGAUCUGAUCUGAAAAUCAUAGCAAGAAUCUUGACAUGAAUAUGUUACUAUGAUAUGAAAUCUGAAAAAAAAACAAUCGUUAGUGAAAACAAAUGGAGAUCAGAUCUCCAUACCUUUGGAUCUAUGGAUGUUCUAGGUUCUGAUCGUAGUCGCGCACACACCCAACCUCUAUUGGUAUCCACACAGAGAUGCUUGAUUGGAGCAUUGAGAUCACUGGUGUACUAGCAUCUUGCAGAUCUCGCUCCUCAAUCUUGGAUCUAGAUCUCUUCUUCUAGAUCUUAAAGAAGGAGAUUGCAGUGCGAACUCUUUUGCACAGAUCCGAUAGGAUCUAAAUCAGAUCACCAUGAAGAGAAGAAGAACCCUUCUUCUUCUCUUCUUCUCUCUCUUUUUCUCUUCUUAGAUUUGAUCACCAUCAGAUCUGGGGGUUGGAUGAAGGGGAGAAGGGAGGAGGAGGCGUUGGAAAGGAGAGCAUGUCCUAAAGAAGUCGCCACUUCUUAUUUCAUGCAAGACCUCACACCCCCUUUUUUUCUAUUUUGUUGCACAACCACUAACUCCAUAUCUCAUGCACAACUUCUCCUUAACACCAAGAGAUCUCAUCUCAUUUAAUCUAAGGUGUUCAAAUCCAAAUCAAUGGAUAGAUGGGCGUAG
rnacentral:lncRNA from 1 species